GGUCUCGUAGCUCAGUUGGCUAGAGCUUUGGCUGUACUGAAGCCUUUUCCGUCGCUGGCGUGGGUUCAAAUCCCACCGAGGCCG
rnacentral:tRNA from 1 species